rnacentral:lncRNA from 1 species
GAUACAUGUAGAGGUGAAGCCGAAUUCUGCAAACGCUAAUAAAUAAAUAAACAGCUGCGUCUGACACUGAGUUUGGCACCACCGGGGCUCAACUGAACUUCAGCCACUGUUGGUUUACCCAGACGAGAAAUUGAGGCACUGGGAGUGAAGCGAUGUCCCCAAGGUCACACAAUAGAGCAGAGGCAGCCAGCCUGGCCCCAGCCAUGGGUACCAUGUGCGCAGGCUUCCACCUACCAUCCGCCUUCCUGCCUCAUUUUGUACCUGCUAGCGGGUUACCUUCCACCAUCCCUGUGUCUUGCAGCUUUCUCAAAUCUAACCACACCGUCCCUGCGACCUGCCACACCAGGGAAGAAUAAAACCAGAAUGCAAGAAACUUAGGAAAACUUUUGCAGUGUGCCCAUGACCAUGCAUGAUUCCUCUGUCCCCUUGGAGUCUGACAACAAAAUUGAACGUGACGGGUGCCUGGAAGAAUCCUUCUGUGGAGACAGAGGUGGCAUUGGUGUUUCUUUGGUAGCAGACAAUUUGCCAGCUCCCUUUCAUCCCUCUCUGAACUAGCAACGCCUGGACACCAGGAGGGAUUAAUGCUGCAAGAAACUUGAGGGACCUCUCUGCGUCCACAGAUGACCAUUAUAUGGAUAGUUCCUGAACCAGUUUGAGCUCCUAGUCCUAGGAUUCUUCUGCGGAGAAACGGCCAACUGUACACGCAUGCUGGUUUGGCACCAGGACAGCACAUUCCCUAGAGAGUCGAAGGAGACCACAAACUCCUUUCAUUUGUGAACGCCUUUCCAUGG